CGAUGGGAAACUUGGCCAUUGGCUUCCCCAGUAUUGAAAGACCCCUGGAGCAGGGAGACCCUCACUCAAGUCUCGGGAUGACACGACCUCCCAAGAACUCACAUAAGACC
rnacentral:pre_miRNA from 14 species